rnacentral:rRNA from 1 species
UACAGAGGGUGCGAGCGUUAAUCGGAAUUACUGGGCGUAAAGCGCGCGUAGGCGGCUUUGCAAGUCGGGUGUGAAAUCCCCAGGCUUAACCUGGGAACUGCAUUCGAGACUGCAUUGCUAGAGUAUGGGAGAGGGAAGUGGAAUUUCAGGUGUAGCGGUGAAAUGCGUAGAUAUCUGAAGGAACAUCAGUGGCGAAAAGCGACUUCCUGGACCCAAUACUGAACGCUCAUGUGCGAAAGCGUGGGGAGCAAACAGGG